ensembl:lncRNA
AAAAUGAAGCUGUUACAUGCAUGCUUUCUUCUGCUUGGAUGUACUUGCCAGCAUCUGCUGCUGUGAGAAGCUGAAGUCGCUGAUGGUGAGGCUAAAUUAAACCUCUCCAAUGAGUGUGUUGAGGGGGCAUAAAGCAACAUCUGCAAGGUGGCUUUGGGGUAUGCUCCCCCUAAACCCCACCUGUGAGGACCAGUGGCUGCCUGCUGCUCUACACUUCUGAAUAUUAAGCAGCUUCCUAAAAGCAAUGAGGCUGUUAUGGCUGAACAGCUUCACCAUGUGCAGGCUGCACAGAUAUCCAGCAAAGAAAUCAAAGGAAUGAUGUCACCAGUAUGUCUUAUCUAAAAUUAAAUAUCUGUUUUAAGUCCACAGAUACAUAGAGACUUUGUAUUAGAAACAUAUACUGAGAGUUCAAACUCUGAGUCAUCUCAUAUAUAUUUCACUCAAGCCAAGGGAAUAGCAGUGAGAAUAGACCUGCAAAAGAGCAAUUCUCUAUUCUAGCAAGAUGAGGGAGAAAAAAUGUUCAGGGAAAAUACUAACCGGUUCACAAGCGAAAAAAUCUUGCCAAUGAAAUUGUGUCUCUAAUACGCUGUGCCUUUGCAGUAAAGUCAUGAUUUGCUGUGGAAAAUGCAGCAGAGAAUAAGUGGGCCAGCUUGUGCUCAUUAAUGGCAGAGACAGAGUAAGUGGCAUUUAAAACAAGUCCACUCCGAGGGAAAGUGAGAAUUGUUUAUUCUGAAGGCAUCAAAUGUUUGUUGUCACAAUUAGAUUUCAAGAGCAACUCGCAAUGCUUUGGGGUGCCGUUGUCCAGGCAGGGUUUAGCCAAGCUCUGGAUGUCCUGGAGCCGAGGGCUGCAUUUCUGCUGCUACUCUCCACUGUGUUACAAGGAUGUGCUGAUGGCCACUGCUGUGCCCUUUCUAGCACAUGCCACAAGUGUUCCAGCCCAGUCAUCAGGAGCUAAAGUGGGAGAUGUGAUGCUGGAAAUUAUUUGGCCCCACCUAAGGGGUAAAUUGUGCCAGGCUCUGUGUCAGCAGCUGUACUUGGGUGCAGUGAACAUCUGUGGUCAGGAGCACUUGUAAUAUCCCUCUACCUUUUGUCUCCUUAUUAUUGCUGUAAUGGGCCCUAUGUAGUCCCCAGUCCCGUGGUGGUUCAUCUUCCCUCAUUUGUCUCAGGCUGUUCUGCUGAUUUUCUUCCCAGCUGGGUAGGCUCAUGUGUUGGGGCUACACCUUAUCUCCUAAAUAGUUUUCUCCAAGGUAGAUAAAGAUGUUCCCUACUCUACAAAAAGGGCUUGUCUUCUCCUGUGAGCAAUUCCAGUCAUGAAGGAGUGGUGCACUGGGUUCUCCUGGAUUCUGGUGGUGCUGCCCAUACAGGAAGGCAUGGGGCAGGAGGAAGCACGGAGGCAUUUCUGGAGUCACAGUGGAAAAAAUGUUGCACUAGGCUGUUCUCCAGCUUUUACUGGAUUAUAGCCCAGACCUAAGACCCAACAGAUGCACUGUCAGGUAUGAAGUAUUGGCCCAAAAUUAGUGCUGGCUCUGUCAUGGGAACCAAUUCCCCUCUCUAAUGCACAGUUGUUGCAUUGCAUAAAAAUCAUUAUUACACAUUGUGAAAUCUAAUUACAUUAUUGCACACUGUGUAUACACUCUAAUAAAGGCAGUGGAAGCAAUAACACUGCUAGUAAUACACCAUUCCACUGAAAUUGCUAUUGCUGUCAAUUUUACAUUCAUUUUUUCUUGAUUUAACCUGAAGAGCAAGGCUCUCAGCCUGCUUGCUUUGGCAGGUAGAUGCUAAGUGUCAAGACUUUACAAGGGCUGCAGAACCCCACAGCUCCUAUUGCAGUAGGGAGCAUGUGAGGGAACUGCCGUGUCCUAACUCUGAUACCCAGUGGUGAGAGCAGUCCUUCCUGAGGGUUACAAUGCUGUCUUGAGAUGGGUCCAAAGCCAGCUGGGCUCAAUUUCCCUUGAAAGUGCCCCUUUUCCCCAUUGAUUGUAUAGCCUCGGGCACCUGUGCUCUUAGAUGUCUAAAACCAGAUGGAGUCCAAUGCCUCCACCUCUCUGUUCUGGUGUGUAUGAGGAAGAGGAGGAUAGAUGGUCCUUUAUCAUAAUUCAGAGAUAGAUAUUUGCCAGUAAUGAGCUGAGAGGGAUUAGGGCUCAAAAAGGUUUUCAGUUCUCUGCUCCCCCACCAUUAACUUCUCAUUGUAAAGCUUGUG